CCUACGGGUGGCAGCAGUGAGGAAUAUUGGUCAAUGGGCUCGAGCCUGAACCAGCCAAGUAGCGUGAAGGCUGCCUGCCCUACGGGUUGUAAACUUCUUUUAUAAAGGCAUAAAGUGAGGCACGUGUGCCUUUUUGUAUGUACUUUAUGAAUAAGGAUAGGCUAACUCCGUGCCAGCAGCCGCGGUAAUACGGAGUAUCCGAGCGUUCUCCGGAUUUAUUGGGUUUAAAGGGAGCGUAGAUGGGUUGUUAAGUCAGUUGUGAAAGUUUGCGGCUCAACCGUAAAAUUGCAAUUGAUACUGGCAGCCUUGAGUACAGUUGAGGUAGGCGGAAUUCGUGGUGUAGCGGUGAAAUGCUUAGAUAUCACGAAGAACUCCGAUUGCGAAGGCAGCUUACUAAACUGCCACUGACAUUGAUGCUCGAAAGUGUGGGUAUCAAACAGGAUUAGAUACCCGGGUAGUC
rnacentral:rRNA from 1 species